rnacentral:lncRNA from 1 species
CUACUGAGGACUCGCCCCCAUGAUGAAGCUCUGUCUGCCUGCCUUGUUUCUGUUGGCUGCGCUAUAUGUGAAUUUUGAAUUUCCCCCAUUCCCUUCCCAAGGAUGUCUGCACCCUCACUUCUGCCCCUCUCCUAUGGCC